GAGAGCAGACUGGCACUGAAAAAGGAGAAGGCAGUGAUGCAGUAUGGGAAAUGCAGAUUGCAAUGCAGUGAAAAGACAUAGGUCAGUUGAAAUAUGCCCUAUGCAUAGAUGAGUAAAGGAUGCCAGAAAAUGGUUAAGGCUGGUACUGCAUUUAUUUUAAAUGAGGAUAUCAAAUGCACUGAGAAGAUGAGGGCAGCAAAGCAGCAAGCAAUGGGGAUUGUAGUAAAGCAGCAAGGGAUAGGAAGUUAUUGGCCGUACAGGUCAAUAGAGCCUUGCAAAGGACAGAGUCUGGUGUUGGUCUUGCCCUGCACAAAUGCUAGACUAGGGCUUUAAUAAGAGUGAUCUGAGCAGAGGGAAAGGUGGCAAUAUGUCAAAUAUUACAGAAUACUGAAAAACAUUACAGAAUACUGAAAAGUGAUUAGGAAUUAUACUCAAGGGCACCAAUUGCAUUAUUGAAAUUUUUAUGUAAAAAAUAUAUUACAAAAAUUGAAUUAGAUUUUU